CCCAAGAGAUGGUGUAUACAUAGCACUUUGUCAACUGUAAAGUCCUAUGUAGAUAUUGUAAUUUAGCCUUGGCUAGAGAAGGCCUCACAAAGGAGGUAGGGUACAUAAGCCUGAGCUGGAAGAGUAGGUGGCAGGUGGCAGAGGGGUGAGGAGGGCCUUACAGGUGGGGGGGACAUGGGUGCUGCUGGGAGGUUGGAGUGAGCAUGGUCAGGAGACAUGAGUUGGCCCUCCUCACAUCCAACUUGAGAGGUUGGUGCUCACCUCUCCCUUCCACAGAUGAGGAUGCUGGGGGAUCCGAAGAUAUCCAAGUGGCCAGUGUGAAGCUGUGCCCCACCUCCCGAACUCCCCACCCCCAGUCUCUCUGCUGGUCAGGGAAACAAAUUUGCUCUUCAAAUUUGCUGCUCCAACGUUAACUGCAUUUAGAUAAGCUGGAGGAGGGGUCCUAAGGACAGAGCGUGAUACGUACUUGUCCUCAGAGGAAGCAGAGGUUUACCAUUGUUCUGUCAACUUGACCAUGAAGAGUGCAUCUGGCCAGACAACAUGAUGCAGCCUGGAAUUGCCAUCUCUCCUCCUGGGAGGUUUAUCCCUCCCAUCUGCUACAUUUCACCCAAAUGAGGAUGCAGAUCAGAAACAUGUUGCAGUAUGAGCUCUCUGCAGAAUUGGUGUGUGCUCCAUCUUUGAAUGUAUCACUCUCAUCACAGUGCCUGGUAUACAGCAGUUUCUCACUAAACACUUACUAACUCAUUUAAUAAAUGACUGAGUGAGC
rnacentral:lncRNA from 1 species